rnacentral:rRNA from 1 species
GAUGAACGCUAGCUACAGGCUUAACGCAUGCAAGUCGAGGGGCAGCAUGUUGGUUGCUUGCAACCGAUGAUGGCGACCGGCGCACGGGUGAGUAACGCGUAUCCAACCUUCCCUUAACUUGGGAAUAGCCCGGUGAAAACCGGAUUAAUGCCCGAUGUGGUCCAGCGAGGGCAUCUGACCCGGACCAAAGAAUUUGUCGGUUAAGGAUGGGGAUGCGUCUGAUUAGCUUGUUGGCGGGGUAACGGCCCACCAAGGCUACGAUCAGUAGGGGUUCUGAGAGGAAGGUCCCCCACAUUGGUACUGAGACACGGACCAAACUCC